rnacentral:lncRNA from 10 species
UUUCAAUGCUGGCAAAGCUGAUCUUCCGUUUAAAGCUGGAGAUGGAGCUGUUGAUGAUAUUAGUAAUACUGACUUCUUCUACUUCCUUUGUUGUCCCCUAGUUCAUAGACAAUGCAGUUAGCUUAAAAGACUUGACUCAGCAAAAUAAAUAAGUAGGUAAUGAGCUAAUAAAAAGUUUAGAGGCCUAAGUGUUGAAUAAUUAGGCUUAAUAGAGAGUGGCAUUGAGUGCUUCAGAAAUUGGCCAAUAAGCCAGGCUUGGGCUCCUGUUGCCCUGUUUGGAGACACCUAUUUGUAGGUCACCAGCAUAUAUAACAGGAGGAGUAAACAUGGCCUACUGUGGAUAUCCUGAGCAGUGUGCCAGAUGCGAAAUGCUCAGGCUUUGAAGUUAGUGGACCUGGGUUCAAAUUCCAUUCGGCCUCUCACUAUUGUGAAACUUUAGUCACCUCAAUCCCUCCAAGACUUUAUUUCCUCGCCUGCCAAAUGGUGAUUGGUAUUGCCAUCUUGAGACUGAUGGGAAGAUUAAAUGGUAAAAAAUGGAAAGCAUCUGGUAGGUGUUUGAUGACUUCAAUUCUGUUCCAGGGAGAAAGGAGUAACUGAUUACGAGAGAUAAUAGAAAUCAGCUGUGUCUUAAAGGCUUUGCCACCAAAGCAGAAAUAGUGAUGCUCCCUGCCAUUGCAAGGAGUUGCCAUUCUCCAACAUGGCUGGGGUCAACUCCCAGGAAUGUGGGAGUGUAGUGAAGUCAGAGAGAGUGUGGUUUGGUUCCUUGACCAGGCCGCUUGCUAGGUGUGGGGUCUUAUGGGAGUUACCAUAUCACUGUACAGGACAAUGAAAUGAGUACCAUUAUUAUCCCAAUUUUACCCUUGAGAAAUGUGCCACAUCAAUUAGUGGCACAUUUCUCAAGAGUAAAAUUGGGAUAAUAAUGGUACUCAUUUCAUUGUGUUGUUGGAUGAACUAAAGGAGAUGUUGACGGAUGUUUAGGACACAGUGAGUACUCCAUAGUGCAGUGAUUAUCAUAUACACAGCAGAAUAAGAGCUUUCUGGUGUCUUUAGAGGAGGCUGUCAGUAUUUCACCAAUGUCCAUUUUGCCAAUCUAGUAAAUCCAGAUUCUUGGGCGGGGGGAUGAGGAGGUAACUCAACUUCCUUCCUCCCUCAUAAGGAAGCCUAAGGGAGCAAAAUAAAUAAAAGCCAUGUUCCUCUUUGGCUGGCACACGUGGUCAUUUGCCUUUGGUGCUUGGAUGACAUGACUAUGAAACAUUACUCACUGUAGCCAAACCCAAGGGAAAAAGCAACUGGAUCUUUGGGUCAUUUUGAUUCCUCAUUCUACACUAUUAGAUCCUCCGUGGUCCUAGCACUUUGCUCAAGGUGGGCACCUCUUCUGAACUGGAUCCCUAUCAUUUUCUUGCUUCUUAGCAUGAACUUUAGAAUGCCAUUAUCUAUCAAAUUUGGCUUCCAAAUAACACUAGGGGUCCAUGAACCUGUAAAGGGUGAUAGUUAAGAGCAUGGUCUAAUGCUCUCUGCAAGUGGGAAUAGCGGAUAAGUGUCAGGCUUUGGAACCAAGUAGGUUUAGGUUGGAAUCCCAGCUCUACCUCUUAGUAUCUAUAUCCCCUGCGGUAAGUCUCUUUCCCUUCUUGUUAUCAGAUUUCAUAAAUUUAAAAAAGGAGACAACCUUAUUGGGUUGUUAUGAGCAUUUAAAAUAAUAUAGUAUUUGCAAAAGGCUUGUUACUGUGUCUGGCACAUGUAAAUGCUUGAUAAAUAAUGACUAUUAUUAUUAUUUAGAGAGCUGGACUAUAGUGUUCCAUUGCUAAACCAAAUAAUGACAGUUUUUCUCAAUUAGCAGAAAAAUAUGCUCACCAAGAAAUUUGUCACAAUCUAAUAUUUCCAUACAUUUUUCAGUAAAGCAUUACUUGUAUAAUUUAAGGACAAAAUAAUGCAACAAAAGAAUUAAAUAGUAAAUAUAUAUUAAUAUAAAACUUGCAAGCAGCUGAUCAUGUUUUUUUCAUAUUGGAUUCUUCAUGGAUGCUUGCUCCUGUGGUUGUGAUUUUAUGCUGCAUACAGAUAACAUAUUUUCUGCUGGAAAAUUAAACAUAUUAAUAUCUCAUUGUAUUUGGUGAAAAGAAUGGUCUUUUUCAAGGGGCACCAUGACUUCCAGCUGCUCCCACCUGAACAAGGAUAAGACUCACUGGAGCACAGGGAAUCACUGCGGGUGGGGUGGGGAUAGAAGCCAGGUCCAGCCCAUGUCUACAGAUCAGCACACGGCACCAGUGAUGGAUCAUACACAGGGCCCUCAAGACUCUUACCCUAUCUUUGGCUGCCAUCUGCUGUAAGGAACUGUAGUGAGCAACUGCAUAUUCUAGCAAGGCCCCAAACACAAAGCUAAAGCAGAUCCCCAGGUACACAUCGAUGGCCUUGAUGAAGCAGUUGGUGUUGGGAAGAGAAGUGCGGGACCCGAUCAUCAGUGUGGUCAUUGAUAACACGGUCGUCACUCCUGGGAAAACAGGCAGGGGAUGUUCCUACAAAGUGACUGGUUAGUCCUCCACCAUAGCCUGGCAGAGUGUCCCCAUUUGAGAAUUGGCAGGGUGAGGGCAAGACCCAGAAAUGGAAUGCAUCUCAUUUUGAAAAGUCUGCGACCUUCUAGAAUAGGGUUGAUUUGUCCAUUUUGUACAGAUAUGAGGGAUGUGUUUUUUUUUAAUGUUUCACGUUCUGUCUUCUCCUGGGAGGGGGUGAUAAAUAUGCAAAAGAACUGACAAUAGACCAUCUAAGCACAAUGAUCCCUUACUUGUCACUGUAAAACUUAAGUUUAAAAAUGCACCACUCCUGGCAGGGCAUAGUGGCUCACACCUGUAAUCCCAGCACUUUGGGAGGCCAAGGUGGGCAGAUCACUUGAGGUCAGGAGUUCAGGACCAGCCUGGGCAACGUGGUGAAACCCCAUCUCUACUAAAAAUACAAAAAUAAGUUGGGCAUCAUGGCACAUGCCUGUAGUCCCAGCUACCUGGGAUGAUAAGGCAGGAGAGUCACUUGAACCUGGAAGGCAGAGGUUGCAGUGAGCCGAGAUCACGCCAGUCCACUCCAACCUGGGCAACAAGAGUGAAAUUCUGUCUCCAAAAAAAAAACAACAACAAAAAACCCAGAAUCCUAAAGUAGUCUCUUUCUGUCUCUCUCUUUCUUUCUCUGUAAAAGAAUCUCCCAAGAAAACAACUCUUGGAACUGCCUUAGGAAUAUCAAUGAAGACAAUGGUAAAAGGAAAAAAAGUAAGUAACCUGAUAAGCCAGUUCUUAGAAAUCUCCUGUUGGAGCUGCUUACCAAUGCAGGUUCUUGCAGGGACUGAAUCGAGAGAGAUCCAAAAUGAAACCCAGGACAACACCACCAGGAAAGUGGAAGGAACGUAGGUUUCCAAAAUGAAAUACAGAACAUUCCUCCGAAGCUCAAACUGUAAGACCAAUCUAGUGUAAUUUCCUGAAAGGGUAAACAACAGAUAGGAAAUUGUGUCUGUUCGUGUAGCAAGUGGUUUCUCUAUGGGAUGCUUAACUAUAUGUACAUUAAGCCCUCUGUCAUUGAUCUAAAUCUGGUUAUGUAUGAACUGUCAUUAUGAUUUCCACAGGAGACACUGCUGUUGCAUUGAAUGGGAUUUAUAGGGGCGCUGUCCUGCCUUAUGUCCAACCUGGGCUUUUCUGAAUCACAGUAUUCCUACAGCAGUGCAAUCAAUACUGGUUUUCUUGACGUCUGCCUCACUAGACAGUGAGUUCCUUGGGGGCAAACACUGAAUCUUUCAGUUCUGCACUCACAAAGUAGUUGUUCAAUAAAUACCUGUUUAAUGAAGAUUACCUGUGACCAUCUGUUUCUCAAGGAAUACUAUGGAAUAGACCUAAUGGACCUAUUAAAUAUAAGUGAAUUUUUGAUGAUUUCAGAGGCACCCCAGAUUUUAUACUACUUCAGGGCCAUCCUUAGGGAAUCUAGCAGUGUAUUCUAGAUGUGGGAAAGGCAUGUGUUAGAGAGCUAUCAGUAACAGAAUUCUCUGUGGUAAAUAGGCUACUGUAGCACAAAACAUAUAUGUCCAUGGGUUAGAGUCCCAAGCUCUGCUCCUGCUGUGCUUCUAUUAUGGGGAGGUGAGCAGUAGUGGCCAGCACUGGUGUGGAUGCAUGAAUGAAGAGGUUAUCCUCUGGGAACAGGAAAAGUCUGGCUUAGAUUGUUGUUGGGGAAAAACAGGAUGGUGAAUGGGAGCUGCUCCAACCCUCUGUCACCCCCAAAUUAAAGCCUGAAAUGAGAAAUUAUACCAUUAAAAAAACAACAGACAUAUGCCUGGAUAAAUAUAGUAUAGAAUAAAAAUAUGUACUUUUCGAGCUUGGUGAGACCCUAGAGAUUACUUAUUAUUUUACUUUAUUGAUGGGUAAAUUGAGACACAGGAAGUUUUAGUGAUUUGAAAAGGACCUGGAGUUGAUGUUAGAAGAAAGAAUAAAAACCAGGUCUUUUGCCCGUUGGUCCAGGGAUGUUUUAUCAGUCUACACUGCCUGCUUUAUUUUCUUGAUUUUGAAAGUCAAUGUUUUAAAAACAAACAAGCAAACCUUAGAAUCAACAUUUGACUAAAUAACGACCCUCUUUUGUACCUAAAGAGGGUGGUUAUGUGCUACAUGAGAUUACAUAAUUUUGAAAACUGAAGCCAUUUUUUAUAUGAACCCAACUUGGGAAUCCAGAUUUGGUAAACUAUGACUGCAUAGCCCUAAUUUACAAAGUUGUCUUUAAAAAUAAAGUGUAUUUAUUUGCCCAUUAUAAAAAUAAUUCAUGAUAAUUACUUAAAUUUUGGAAAAUAAAGCCAGGCUUGGUGGCUCAUGUCUGUAAUCCCAGCAUUUUGGGAGGCCAAGGCAGGUGGUUUGCUGGAGCUCAGGAGUUCGAGACCAGCUGGGAAACAUGAUGUAACCUCAUCUCUACAAUAAUACAAAACAUUACCCAGGCAUGAUGGCACACACCUAUAGUCCCAGCUACCAGUGAGACUGAGGUGGGAGGAUCACCCAAGCCCAGGAGGUGAAUUUUGCCGUGAGCUGAGAUUGCGCCACUGCACUCCAGCCUAGGUGACACUAGAGUGAGACACUGUCUCAAAUAAAUAAAAUAAAAUAAAGUAAAAUAAUAAGUAAAUAGAUAAAAGAAAAAAGAAAAGAAAAAUUUGGAAAAUAAGAAAAGUAGAGAGAAAAAAUCAUCUUUCCUUCUAUUCCAGUCUUUUCUCUAUACAUACCCUUUAGUUUCUAAUUUUCAUGUAACCAUGAUCUUGGUGUGACAUAUGAUUUUUAAUGUCACCUAGGCUCAACUAAAAUACACAGUAGGCCGGGCGCGGUGGCUCAUGCCUGUAAUUCCAGCACUUUGGGAGGCCAAGGCGGGUGGAUCACUUGAGGUCAGGAGUUCGAGACCAGCCUGGCCAACAUGGCGAAACCCCUCUCUACCAAAAAUACAAAAAUUAGCCGGGCAUGCUGGAGGAUGCCUGUAAUCCCGGCUACUCAGGAGGCUGAGGCACAAGAGUCGCUUGAACCUGGGAGGCGAAGGUUGCAGUGAGCUGAGAUCGUGCCACUGCACUCCAGCCUGUGCGAAAGACUUUGUCUCAAUUAAAUAAAAUAAAAUAUGUAGUAAUUUUUUAGGGUGCAAAUAUUGAUGAGAAUAAGCGUUCUUAAUAUUAUCAUAAGGAAGUGAGAGGAAAAUGCCAGCUGCUUUUAUAUAACAUCACAUCUUUCCAAACAUGUCUAUGUAAAAUCGCCAAAGACCAAGAGAUGCAUUUCUGGUAAAUGAAAUGAAUAAGUAAUACUUCCUGCCAUGUUUGCAAUAAUUAGAGUGUUCAUGCUCUUGUUGGGCAUUGCUGCUGUCUUCUUCAUCUUUGAGCUGUAUUCUUAUUUUUAUUCUUCAGUGUCAGAGAACUAGUGUUCCAGUGAGAAAUAUGAAUAAAUUUUAUGCAUGAUGGAGGCACGGAAUUUGAGCACUCAUUAGCAAGUAUCUGGAGGUACAUGGUGCAAGGCUUCAGAGCUGGUCCAGAGGUCUGUUCCUCAGUGGACCAUUUUAAUACUGGGUGUGGAGGAGGUGGAAUUGCUCAGCACAAACCCUACUGUCCCGCUCCACUGCAUCCCAAGGAGGUAAAGUGAGAAGACGAUAUUUCUGACUCAGAGAGCAACCCUACACCUCAGUUCACUUAUUUUUAUUUCAUACAGUUUGUCACAUGAGUUACCUGUCUCCUGCUGCGAUCUGGUGACUAAGGUGAAAUACCGCUCUAUGGUGUACUGAGCAAGCCGCAGGUGUUCCAGUCCACGCACAGAGUCGUUCCCUCUCAGCCAGGUGAACUCCACAUCAUUUCCAUCAUAGCCCCCUGGCAAAUAAAAUGGAGCCCUGGUCAGUGCAAGGGUGUUCCAGAUUGAACUGGUCUGGUCUGGAAAAUGCUAUAAUAUGGAGACAGCAUGAGUUCUUUCUUCAUAGUGAUAAGUCCAAGGACAAUCCCAUGCAGAACUUAGCAAGAUUUCCCAAGUGCAAUUGCAAUGUCUGCUCUGAAUGAAGUGACCUGCCAGGACGAUUUGCCGUCAAUUGAGAGCUGGUCUUGUGUUAGGUACUGCGUAGAUCUGGUGGAUGAUAAGUCAUUAGAAGUGGCCUCCCUCAUUAUUUAAAUUACAUUUAUUAAGCACAUAUCUGUGAACACGCAAAGAUACUGCCUUUCAAGAUUGUAUAAUAGCUCUGAUGAUAUUUUCAGGGACUUAAGAACUGAUCUGUUCAUAUUUCUAUAUUGGCAUAAAUGCAAAAACAAAAACAAAAAACCUGCUUUAUUAAAGCCUGUAAAAAUGCACGUUAGAUAAGUCUCAAAGCAGUUUAAUUAAUAUACUUGAUAAUAGUAACAAUAGUUACCUUUUGAACAUUUAUAAGUACUUUAUACAUUAUGUCACUAAUGUUCUUGUAAACUUGCAAGGUAGCCAUUUCUAUAUUUCCUCAAUUCUAAGAUGGACAUUUCUUUACAUUUUCUGAAAUUGAACUGGAUCUUGUAGUUGAUUUAUAUCUAUAUAAUAUAUAAAUAUUAUAAUAUAUAUAAUAUAUAUAAUAUAUAAUAUAAUAUAAUAUAUAAUAUAUAAACGUAUAUAUGUAUUUUAAUAUACAGUAAAGCUUAUAUUUUUUCCUGAAAUGUUAUUAUUCAAUAAAUGCUGUUCCAUAGAACUCAGUCACUAUAAUGAUUUUCCCACAUUAUUCUUGAAAACUCUCAGAUUCAGAGGGGUUGCAUAACUUUCUCAGGAUAACAAGGCAAGCAAGAAACAAAGUUACCUUAGGAAAGUUUAAUCCCAAAGUCUAUGAGUGACGAUGAUAAUAAUACCUAUCAUUUAAUAAGCAAUUGCAUUUCCAAGUGCUUUACAACAUUAUCAUCUCAUUUAACCCUCAAUGUAUCUCUUUGAGAAGAUACAUGAAUGGUUCAUAAGCAAACAAAAAGAUACUCAACAUCACUAGUCAUUAGGGAAAUGCAAAUCAAAACCACAAUAAAAUGCCUCACACCCAUUAGAUGGCUGUAAUAAAAAAGAUAGACAGUAACGAAGGCCAGCACAUGCAGAAGCUGGAACAUUAGCUAGUGGGAAUGUGAAAUGGUACAACCACUUUGGGAAACAGUAACAAAGUAGCAAUUUCUUUAAAACUUAAAUAUAUAUUUACCAUUUGACCCAGCAUUCCACUCCUAGGUAUCUGUCCAAGAGAAAUGAAAUCCUGUCCACAGAAAGACUCACACACCAGUGUUCAUAGCAGCACUACUCAUAAUAGCCAAAAGGUGGAAACCAAAUGUUCAUCAACUGAUGAAUCAAUAAAUAAAAUUUGAUAUAUAUAUCUAUCUCAUCUAUCUCACAUGAAUAUAUAUAUAUAUAUAUAUAUAUAUGCAUACAAAGAAAUACUACUCAGUAAUAAAAAGGAAUAAAGUACUGAUGCAAGCCAUAACAUGUGUGAACCUCAAAAACAUGCUAAGUGAAAGA